UGGGAAGGAGAACCCUGGAUGGAAACGCGCGUGUGUAGAGGAAAAUAAGUACACAAUGUUUCCAUGAAAAGAGUCAAGGCUGACUUUGUAACCAAAGCGGAAUUAUAAGCAAACUCUUGAGUGAGAGAAACUGAAAUAUUCCACUCUCCAUCCUUCCUGGAUCCCAUCAUGAGCUACAGGAAGAUGGACAAGCAUGGAAGCCCACAGUAUUGCCGCCAUUUUCUGGCUGACAACAGCAUCUUCCAUGUUGAGCGAUGCAUGAGUGUGAUGCAGUCGGGGACUCAGAUGGUGAAGCUGAAGAAUGGUUCUAAAGGUCUGGUCCGGCUCUUCUAUUUGGAUGAACACCGUUCCUGCAUCCGCUGGAGACCGUCUCGCAAGAGUGAGAAAGC